UGAAACCAGGACGCCAGUUUUGGCGGAGCCAUCCUUGGGAUACCACCCUUGUAGUACUGGGACUCUAACCAUAGGCCAUGAAUCUGGUCUUGGGACACUGUCAGGUGGGCAGUUUGACUGGGGCGGUCGCCUCCCAAAAGGUAACGGAGGCGCUCAAAGGUUCUCUCAGUACGGUCGGAAAUCGUACGUAGAGUGUAAAGGCAAAAGAGAGCUUGAUUGCAAGACAUACAGGUCGAGCAAGGAUGAAAAUCGGACUUAGUGAUCCGGUGGUUCUG
rnacentral:rRNA from 1 species